rnacentral:sRNA from 1 species
AGCAGGAGUCCAGGGUGCACUACACCGUGUGCAUCUGGCGGAAUGGCAAGGUGGGACUGUCUGGCAUGGCCAUCGCGGACAUCACCCUCCUGAGUGGAUUCCACGCCCUGCGUGCUGACCUGGAGAAGCUGACCUCCCUCUCUGACCGUUACGUGAGUCACUUUGAGACCGAGGGGCCCCACGUCCUGCUGUAUUUUGACUCGGUCCCCACCUCUCGGGAGUGCGUGGGCUUUGAGGCUGUGCAGGAAGUGCCGGUGGGGCUGGUGCAGCCGGCCAGCGCAACCCUGUACGACUACUACAACCCCGAGCGCAGAUGUUCUGUGUUUUACGGGGCACCAAGUAAGAGCAGACUCUUGGCCACUUUGUGUUCUGCUGAAGUCUGCCAGUGUGCUGAGGGGAAGUGCCCUCGCCAGCGUCGCGCCCUGGAGCGGGGUCUGCAGGACGAGGAUGGCUACAGGAUGAAGUUUGCCUGCUACUACCCCCGUGUGGAGUACGGCUUCCAGGUUAAGGUUCUCCGAGAAGACAGCAGAGCUGCUUUCCGCCUCUUUGAGACCAAGAUCACCCAAGUCCUGCACUUCAGUAUGAAGCAAACCGGAGAGGCGGGCAGGGCUGGGGGGAGACAGGGAGGCUGAGGUGUGGCCGAGGACCUGACCAUCUGGAAGUGUGAAAAUCCCCUUGGCCUGUCAGAGGCCUUGGACUUGGCCAUAAAUAGGGAGGCAGUGGCACCUCUCCAUGGGGGUGGCGAAGGUGGAAUGAGAGGAUCUAUACAGAGCCCCCAGCCUGGGCUCACCCUGCACCUUCUCUUCCCCUCUGACCGCUUUUGCGCACAUCAUCCCCGCAGCCAAGGAUGUCAAGGCCACUGCUAAUCAGAUGCGCAACUUCCUGGUUCGAGCUUCCUGCCGCCUUCGCUUGGAACCUGGGAAAGAAUAUUUGAUCAUGGGUCUGGAUGGGGCCACCUACGACCUCGAGGGACACCCCCAGUACCUGCUGGACUCGAAUAGCUGGAUCGAGGAGAUGCCCUCUGAACGCCUGUGCCGGAGCACCCGCCAGCGGGCAGCCUUGCCCAGCUCAACGACUUCCUCCAGGAGUAUGGCACUCAGGGGUGCCAGGUGUGAGGGCUGCCCUCCCACCUCCCCUGGGAGGAACCUGAGCCUGGGAACCAUGAAGCUGGAA